rnacentral:rRNA from 1 species
GAUGAACGCUGGCGGCGUGCCUAAUACAUGCAAGUCGAGCGAACGGACGAGAAGCUUGCUUUUCUGAUGUUAGCGGCGGACGGGUGAGUAACACGUGGAUAACCUACCUAUAAGACUGGGAUAACUUCGGGAAACCGGAGCUAAUACCGGAUAAUAUUUUGAACCGCAUGGUUCAAAAGUGAAAGACGGUCUUGCUGUCACUUAUAGAUGGAUCCGCGCUGCAUUAGCUAGUUGGUAAGGUAACGGCUUACCAAGGCAACGAUGCAUAGCCGACCUGAGAGGGUGAUCGGCCACACUGGAACUGAGACACAGUCCAGACUCCUACGGGAGGCAGCAGUAGGGAAUCUUCCGCAAUGGGCGAAAGCCUGACGGAGCAACGCCGCGUGAGUGAUGAAGGUCUUCGGAUCGUAAAACUCUGUUAUUAGGGAAGAACAUAUGCGUAAGUAACUGUGCACAUCUUGACGGUACCUAAUCAGAAAGCCACGGCUAACUACGUG